GUUCUUAGCAAAUCACUCAAUGUAUCUGGACUUGGUUUCACCAUUUCAUUGUCCAUUUUCCUCUCUUAAAUAGUGAGGGAAUAAGAGAAUACACCUCUUUCUGCCUGUUACCUUGAAAAGAUGCUGUUUAUAAACAGGAUAAAGAGACUGUAUCUGCUGGAAUGUGCUACUGUCAUAGCUAGAAUAUCACCAACGGGGAAAAAAAUGUCAUUAAGCCAGAACAACAACAACAAAAACAAGCAUAAACUUUG